rnacentral:rRNA from 1 species
GACGAACGCUGGCGGCGUGCCUAAUACAUGCAAGUAGAACGCACAGUUUAUACCGUAGCUUGCUACACCAUAGACUGUGAGUUGCGAACGGGUGAGUAACGCGUAGGUAACCUGCCUGGUAGCGGGGGAUAACUAUUGGAAACGAUAGCUAAUACCGCAUAAUAUUAAUUAUUGCAUGAUAAUUGAUUAAAAGGUGCAAUUGCACCACUACCAGAUGGACCUGCGUUGUAUUAGCUAGUAGGUGAGGUAACGGCUCACCUAGGCGACGAUACAUAGCCGACCUGAGAGGGUGAUCGGCCACACUGGGACUGAGACACGGCCCAGACUCCUACGGGAGGCAGCAGUAGGGAAUCUUCGGCAAUGGACGAAAGUCUGACCGAGCAACGCCGCGUGAGUGAAGAAGGUUUUCGGAUCGUAAAGCUCUGUUGUAAGAGAAGAACGGGUGUGAGAGUGGAAAGUUCACACUGUGACGGUAUCUUACCAGAAAGGGACGGCUAACUACGUGC